rnacentral:tRNA from 2 species
CGCGCAAAAGCGGAAGGGCCGCACCCCCUUGACGGGGGUACGGCCCUAUGGUGCCGACAGACGGCGGAUCGCUCCGCCUGGCGCGCCC